rnacentral:rRNA from 1 species
UACGAAGGGGGCUAGCGUUGCUCGGAAUCACUGGGCGUAAAGCGCACGUAGGCGGAUUGUUAAGUCGGGGGUGAAAUCCUGGAGCUCAACUCCAGAACUGCCUUCGAUACUGGCGAUCUUGAGUCCGGGAGAGGUGAGUGGAACUCCGAGUGUAGAGGUGAAAUUCGUAGAUAUUCGGAAGAACACCAGUGGCGAAGGCGGCUUACUGGACCAUUACUGACGCUGAGGUGCGAAAGCGUGGGGAGCAAACAGG